rnacentral:rRNA from 1 species
UACGGAGGAUCCAAGCGUUAUCCGGAUUCAUUGGGUUUAAAGGGUGCGUAGGCGGAAUGAUAAGUCAGUGGUGAAAUCCUACAGCUUAACUGUAGAAUUGCCAUUGAUACUGUCAAUCUUGAGUACAUUUGAUGUGGGCGGAAUGUGUCAUGUAGCGGUGAAAUGCUUAGAUAUGACACAGAACACCGAUUGCGAAGGCAGCUCACAAAACUGUAACUGACGCUGAGGCACGAAAGCGUGGGUAUCAAACAGG